GACGAACGCUGGCGGCGUGCUUAACACAUGCAAGUCGAACGGAAAGGCCCUGCUUUUGUGGGGUGCUCGAGUGGCGAACGGGUGAGUAACACGUGAGUAACCUGCCCUUGACUUUGGGAUAACUUCAGGAAACUGGGGCUAAUACCGGAUAGGAGCUCCUGCUGCAUGGUGGGGGUUGGAAAGUUUCGGCGUUGGGGGAUGGACUCGCGGCUUAUCAGCUUGUUGGUGGGGUAGUGGCUGACCAAGGCUUUGACGGGUAGCCGGCCUGAGAGGGUGACCGGCGACAUUGGGACUGAGAUGCGGCACCGACUGCGACGGGAGGGAGCAGUGGGGAAGAUUGCACAAUGGGCGGAAGCCUGAUGAAGCAACGCCGCGUGCGGGAUGACGGCCUUAGGGUUGUAAACCGCUUUCGCCUGUGACGAAGCGUGAGUGACGGUAAUGGGUAAAGAAGCACCGGCUAACUACGUG
rnacentral:rRNA from 1 species